UUUUCCAAUCGGUUAAGGGUCUUGGGAUACUUGGGGUUAAGCGUCCUUGGGUUUGAAUAGUACUGGGCUGGGUGACCUCUCGGGAAGUCCAAACUCAGGAGUUUACAUUUGGUAUCAGAGAGGUCUCGGGUCCGACUCUGUUGGUUGGCUAGGGGAAUCGCACCACAUGUUGAUUGACAUCUGGCUGGUCCAGUUUGCUCCGCUGGGCUCGACCCGAGGGGUAGGGUGUCAAGAGAGCGGGGCUCUCGGGAGAGCUGCGGCUCUCAGCUUCCGUUCACGAGGGCGUGAACUUGCAGGGAAGCGUGGUGGAUUGUAAGCAAUCAAAGGGAACGACUCGAGAACGAUCCAUAGGGGUUCAAAUAUAGAGGGAAAGGGCCCAUGAACAAGAGUGCACCCCCUUUUCCAAUCGGUUAAGGGUCUUGGGAUACUUGGGGUUAAGCGUCCUUGGGUUUGAAUAGUACUGGGCUGGGUGACCUCUCGGGAAGUCCAAACUCAGGAGUUUACAGCUUGGUCGGAUAUGACCUUUGUCAAGAAGCUCUAUGAGUUGCUUCUUGAGUUCAGCCAUCUCCUUGAUGUUCAAUCGAUACGGAGCUUUCAUAGGUGGUUUAGAACCCGGAAUAACCUCAAUCAGAUGAUCAACCUCACAGCUAGGAGGUAGCCCUAGUGGUAAAUCCUUUGGGAAGAUAUCCUGAUUCUUCGCCAACAACUCCAAUAUCUUCUUUGGUAUAGAAUCAACCCCGUCACCGAUUCGAACUGAAUCACCAACACCCUUAGCCUCCAUCACUUGAACCCAAAAGGUCCAACAUCCCCUCUUAGCUACUUUUUGAGUAGUCAGGAACUUUGCAUCCCAAUCCUUUGAGGAACGCUUUUGCAACUGGAAGGACACAUCGGGACGUCCUUCGGACUUCAACAUGAUACGACUUUGUCCAGCACCAUAAAUCCUUUUUAAAUAUUUAUUGAAGAAGUCCAUACCAAACACCAUCUAAAAAUUUGGUAUCUUCAACACUACCAAGUCCACUCUUUCUUUCCACUUGGAUAUUUUUAUUGGAACAUCACUCACAAAUUUUCUGGCUACUUGCCCACCUUCCGCAAAUCGGAAGUGUAUAGGUGAUAUUUGCUCAGGAUUCAAUCCUAACAACUUAACUAAGUGUUUGGAUAUCACGCUGUGCAUAGCUCCCGUGUCAAUCAUCAUUCGGAUUCGGUGUCCACAGACAAAGCCUACCAAAUACAUCAACGGAUCAGUGUUUGCAUUGACUGCGAGAAAAGCUUGAGGAAAGCAACGAAAGUAACUCACCUCCUCUUUCUCAUAGUCUACAUUGACCAACUCGUCAACCCCUUCAGCUUCACCACCACCGUCUUCCCUCAUAACAUUAACACGAGACCUUGUCUUAUACUUGUUGGGACAUUCCGAGGACUUAUGUCCUAACUCUCCACAAUGGAAGCAAUGACCCACACUACCUGUUCCACUAGGAGCAGGUUUUGUAGGUUGCUGCUACUCGUACCCACCAAGAGGAAAAACAGAGGGCCUAGGACCAGAAGAAGCUGCUGGUGGUUUCCAACCACCACCACCACCUUUGUUAAUCGUUGCUUGUGAGCCCCCAGAGCGGAACUUGCCUUCCAUCCUCUAUUUCCAAUCACCUUGUUUAUUCCCAGAAUUCUUAUUCUUGUCUAAGGUACCAACAUAUGGUUGCUGAUAUUGUUCCAUGAGUGAAUGGCUAAAGGCAACUUGUUGUGCUGCUGUAAGCAACCAAAGGGAACGACUUGAGAGACGAUCCAUGGGGUUCAAAUAUAGAGGGAAAGGGCCCAUGAAUAAGAGUGCAUCCCCUUUUCCAAUCGGUUAAGGGUCUUGGGAUAUUUGGGGUUAAGCGUCCUUGGGUUUGAAUAGUACUGGGCUGGGUGACCUCCCGGGAAGUCCAAACUCAGGAGCUUACAUCUGGUAUCAGAGCGGUCUCAGGUCCGACUCUGUUGGUUGGCUAGGGGAAUCACACCAUAUGUUGAUUGACAUCUGGCUGGUCCAGUUUGCUCCCGCUGGGCUCGACCCGAGGGGUAGGGUGUCAAGAGAGCGGGGCUCUCGGGAGAGCUGCGGCUCUCAACUUCCGUUUACGAGGGCGUGAACUUGCAGGGAAGCGUGGUGGAUUGUAAGCAACCAAAGGGAACGACUUGAGAGACGAUCCAUGGGGUUCAAAUAUAGAGGGAAAGGGCCCAUGAAUAAGAGUGCACCCCCU
rnacentral:lncRNA from 1 species